CCGGCGUCGGGUCAGAACUGAUGUGAGCCUUACAUCGUGUUCUGCUCUGUCCCUUCCGCACACGAGCACAUCGUCCGCGUGGACUAUGACGCCACUCAGCCCAUCCAACAGCUGGGACGUGCGUCUUUGGAAAUGCUCAGGACCGGAAGCGAUUCCAAAUGCAAAACAUUAAAACGGUAACGGCCAAACGGUGUUUUAAACGUUGUGAGCGCCCUACUCUCUGAUGACAGCGGUAUCUGCCAGAAACCUGAGCGGGCAUCCAGCUUUGUGAAGACUUUCCCCCAUCAGCUGCAUUGUGAGCAGAAGGGGAGUGCAAAUAUGAAGCAGGAGGACCCAGAGCCCAUACCGUUUAGAGAGGAACAGGUCUCUGAAACCUCAGUGUUCUUAUUCACGCCUUCCAGCGUGAAAAGUGAAUCUGAUAAUGAUCAAGACCCAUCUUAGGCUUCACAUCUUUACCAAACCCAAAGUGAAGAAAACCGAGAGAGUGACUGUCUACCCAACAACACAAGUGCAGAAAUCAAAACAGAAGUUGAUGGAGAGGACAUCAGAGUAUAGGAACCAACCGGUGACUCUCAGCCCCUCUGCAGCAAACCCAAAAUGUUCUGCAGUAAAGAGUGAAAACGGGGAUUGUGUUGAUGGGGAGGCAAGUGGAGGAUUUAUCUCAAAACUAAAGCCACUCGAAUCAAUUCGGGCUAAGAAAGAACAAAGCUUCUAAAUGUCUACCAAUGGCAGGAAAACCAGUGAGCUGAAAGUGCCAUUAGGAUCUAACACACGGGAGAGACCCUACGUGCUAUGUUUGCCAAAAAGGCUUUUGGACAGCAUACACUUUACAAGCAAAUGGAAUUAUUCACACAGAGGAGAAAUCGUUUCAAUGCGAAGACUGUGGGAAAUGUUUCAGCAGUAAGGGAAAACUGAAGAAACAUGUUAAGAUUCACACUGGGGAGGUGAGAUACAAAUCAGAGAGAAAAUAUACCUGUCCCGUAUGAAGAAAAGGCAUAAGCACAGCAUUCGGGUUUAAAAAUACAUCAGAGAAUUCACACAAGGGAGAAAUCAUUUCAGUGCCUGUUGUGUGGAAAUGUUACCCAUCAGCAAAUUAUCUUUAAAAAAAACACCAGCGCACUCGACAUUUCGGUGCAAUGAUUGCGGCAAGCACUACUGCUGCAAAAGCGCCCUGAACAUGCAUUUAAGGAUACACACGGGACAAAAAUGUUAUUGCGCAGAAUGUGGCAAAUAAAGUGCAUUCAAAAAGUAUUCAGACCCUUUGACUUUAUCCACAUUUUGUUACGUUUCAGCCUUAUACUAAAAAUGUAUUGGUUUUUUUCUUCAUCAUUCUACACACAAUAACCCAUAAUGACAAAGCAAUAUUUUUUUUUUUUUUUUGCACAUUUAUAAAAAAUAAAAAUAAAAUAAUAAUAAAUAUAUAAAAAUCACUUUUACAGAAGUAUUCAGGCCCUUUACUCAGUACAUUGUUGAAGCACCUUUGGCAACGAUUACAGCCUUGAUUCUUCUUUGGUAUGACAUGUCAAGCUUGGCACACCUGUAUUUGGGGAGUUUCUCCCAUUCUUCUCUGCAGAUCCUCACAAGCUCUUUCACGUUGGAUGGGGAGUGUCGCUACUCUCUCUACUUUGCUUGGUUCAUCUUCCCUCGAUCCUGACCAGUCCCUGCCACUGAAAAACAUCCCCACAGCAUGACACUGCCUUCACCAUGCUUCACCGUCGGGAUGGUGCCAGGUUUCCUCCAGAUGUGAUGCUUGGCAUUCAGGCCAAAGCUUUCAAUCUUGGUUUCAUCAGACCAGAAAAUCUGUCAGAUUGACCAUCAGGUUCUUGGUCACCUCCCUGACCAAUGCCCUUUUCCACAAUAACUCACUUUGGCCGGGUGGACAGUUCUAGGAAGAGUCUUGGUGGUUCCAAACUUCUUCCAUUUAGGAAUUAUGAAAGCCACUGUGUUCUUGGAGACUUUCAGUGCUGCAGACAUUUUUUUGGUACCAAUCCCCAGAUCUGUACCUCGAAACAAUCCUGUCUCGGAGCUCUACGCACAUUACCUUCGACCUCAUGGCUUGGUUUUUGCUCUGACAUGCACUGUCAACUGUGGGACCUUAUAUAGACAGGUCUGUCACUUUCCAAAUAAUGUCCAAUCAAUUGAAUUUACCACAGGUGGACUCCAAUCAAGAUGUAGAAACAUCUCAAGAAUGAUCAAUGGAAACAGGAUGCACCUGAGCUUAAUUUCGGGUCUCAUAGCAAAGGGUCUGAAAACUUAUGUAAAUAAGGUAUUUCUGUUUUUAUAAAUGUGCAAACAUUUAUAAACUUGUAUUUCACUUUGUCAUUAUGGAGUUUUAUGUGUAGAAUAUUGAGUAUUUCUUUUUAUUAAAUAUAUUUUAGAAUAAGGAGUAACGUAACAAAAUGUAGAAGAAGUCAAGGGGUCUGAAUACUUUCUGAAUGCACUGUACUUUGGUAGGAAGGCAAGGCUCACAGAUCCUUUGACAAUUCACACAGGGUAGAAAUCACACGCGCACAAUAUGUGGCCCAUGCUUUAAUGUAAAGUCAGCACUUAGAAAUCAUGUGAGGGUGCACACAGGAGAAAUCACAUAAAUGCACUUGGUGUGAAAAAUUAUUUAAAACAGCACCUGCUCUAAAACAACACUGACAAACCACACUUGUGCCUUUUGUGUGAAAAACACUUUAGAAUGACCAGUGAUCUUAAAUGCCACCAGCGGCGAAGUCAUUGAGAGAAACAAUUUCCAUGCCCUGGAUGUGGAAAGUGCUCAUGACGUUGACUAAACUUUAGCGGUCAUCAGCUAAUUCACACUGGAGAAGAACUGUGGCAAAUGCUUUAGUCAACAGGAGCACCUGGCAGGGCAAAGACUCAUACAGUAAAUAAAAAUACUAUUUAAAGAUCCUGUGCAAUAGAAAUCUUAAUAAUAUAACAACAAAUCAUUGCCUCAGUUUUAUUGGUCUAUAACAACAUUAAUGGUAUUACUUUACAAUGUGUCCCUAUGACCCAUGUAUUUAGAUGGUAGUUACAGUUGCGGUCAAAUAUAUUGGCACCUUUGCAUUAUUCACUUUCUUCUAAAAUAAAUUGAAAUUUAAAGAACGUUUGGCGUUCACACGUGUAUUUGCUUGAUUGACAACUUCACAGGACCAAGAAAAAUGUAUUGGGUUGGCAGAAAGUGAUUCUUGUUAACUGUGUAACUUAUCUAACCUGUGGUAAGUUGCAGAUGGCUACAGGGUAAAAAUAGCCAUUCAAUCAGUUCUAUUACACUUGGUUUGAUUUACAACUCUGCACAUGCAAAUGAAGCAAAUAUUUCCUUAACUUACCUCAUUUGCACUCACUGUAUAUAGACUUUUUGUUUUCUUUUGUUCUACUGUAUUAUUGACUAUGUUUUGUUUAUUCCAUGUGUAACUCUGUGUUGUUGUAUGUGUUGAAUUGCUAUGCUUUAUCUUGGCCAGGUCGCAGUUGCAAAUGAGAACUUGUUCUCA
ensembl:lncRNA